rnacentral:tRNA from 1 species
AAGAUAUAUAGUAGAACUUCUAAUUCUUAACCUUCCUAUGGAAAUAUCUUA